rnacentral:snRNA from 1 species
ACAAGUACCGCGAGGUAAAGA